AAAUACGCACGCCGUAUAGUAACAAAUAUUUUAUGUAGUAAAAAUGACAUGGACAACUAAGAGCCCGUGGAUAUUGCAAAAUUUUUAAAA